rnacentral:lncRNA from 1 species
AGAUUUUCCUUACCACUUAUGUUCUGCCAAGUGAAAGACAAUUUCACUUACCCAGGUUGACAGACAACAGAGACUCAUACACAAUCAGAAGAUAGUACUGUGACUAGGUGGGGAAAAAAAGAGCUAAUGGAAACACACACACAAAAAAUACAGAGAGAAACAAACACAUACUACCACCACCACCAAAAGACAAGAUGGCAAGAGAAGGACUGACCUAGAUUCUGAAAUGCAUAAGCUUUAGAAUAGCAGAUAAUGACUGAUGGAUGGGGUGAG